rnacentral:misc_RNA from 1 species
GCCUCUUUUCCAGGAGUCCCGCACGUUCCGAAUGGAAAUCCAUGACGCACUUCUUCCGGAAGAGCAUCCGUUUCGAUUUUCGACGGAGUCGUUGUGGACCCGUGCGGUGAAAGUGACCGCGAAAGGCCGGGAAUUUACCGUUCCUCAUCCGCUGCAUCAGCUGUGGCACGUGUGUGUCCACUUCGCCUGGGCUCACGGGAUGACGUGGGGAAGCUUGCGCACGUUGCGUGAUUGCGCAGCCCUCAUCGACCGCGGGGGAUUUGACUGGCCGGAAUUUGUCGGUUUUGCGAAGGAGACUCGAGCGACGACCUGCUGUUUCUGGACACUGCGGCUUGUACGUCGGUUCACCGGCGCGGCAGUUCCUGAUCACGUGCUGAAAUCAUUGCAUCCUCCUUAUU